AAUGAACGCUGGCGGCAUGCCUAACACAUGCAAGUCGAACGAAGGCUUCGGCCUUAGUGGCGCACGGGUGCGUAAUGCGUGGGAAUCUGCCCUUGGGUUCGGGAUAACAGUUAGAAAUGACUGCUAAUACCGGAUGAUGUCGUAAGACCAAAGAUUUAUCGCCCAAGGAUGAGCCCGCGUAGGAUUAGCUAGUUGGUGGGGUAAAGGCCCACCAAGGCGACGAUCCUUAGCUGGUCUGAGAGGAUGAUCAGCCACACUGGGACUGAGACACGGCCCAGACUCCUACGGGAGGCAGCAGUGGGGAAUAUUGGACAAUGGGCGAAAGCCUGAUCCAGCAAUGCCGCGUGAGUGAUGAAGGCCUUAGGGUUGUAAAGCUCUUUUACCCGGGAUGAUAAUGACAGUACCGGGAGAAUAAGCUCCGGCUAACUUCGUGCCAGCCGCCGCGGUAAGAC
rnacentral:rRNA from 1 species